rnacentral:lncRNA from 1 species
CUGGGGGAGAUCCUGGAAAAUAAAGAUGUGUUCAGUCUGAUAAAUAUGAAUGUGGUAGCCUUUUUCUUCUUGCUCUUAUUGCUGCUUUAUAAUCCUAAACUGUCUUGUAUCAGACCAAGUGCUUCUAACUUGAAAUUUGUGAGGCAAAGGACAAAUCCCUCAAAGCAGUGCAAAUGGAUACUGCCCAUAUUGGUGUUGAGUUGUUUGUUCUAGAAAUCCUUAGAAGAGCUGUAUGAAGCUGAUCAUCAAACCAAAUGGAAUGUCUGUGAAGAAGCAAGAGGAAGAACCAAAGGAAUGAGACAUGUACUACCAUUUGGUCAAAGCCAAGACAAGUUUCCCCAGUCUUCAAGGGAUGGUUGCUGUAGUGACACCUAGC